UCGAUAUAUCCGGAAUUAGAGUCAAAGCACCACUGAAGAGGAGUCUUGGGCGUUGCUCCAUAAGGAAAGAGUAUGAAUUUUUUGAUUUUGCCGAGUUCCUGGAUAUCCUGAUGAUGGCUUUCUUCACGACUUCCGUCUUGAUGAAUCUUCUCCUACAAGGCAGCCUCCUACCUGG